UUUCCGUAGGUGAACCUGCGGAAGGUUCAUUAAUGCGUUUGGGCCUCACGGCUCUUCAUUCCGACGCUGUGCGCCUUCGGGCUGCACGCUGAGGGAGCAUAUACCUACCCCUGUGCACACACACGGUGGCGAGCUGGGUAACGGCUCGCCGCUGAUCUUUACACACGUCUAAAAGUCAUUGUAUGUUUAUUUGAGAUAAAAACACAACUUUCAGCAACGGAUCUCUUGGCUCUC
rnacentral:misc_RNA from 1 species